GUAGGAGACCACUAUUGCAGUUACUUCAUCCAAAUUCUUCACGUUAUUUCAGUCGUGAUGAUUUGGCCUCUCUUGAUCUGUCUGUUCCAUCACUGUGCUUAAUGGAUAAGUCUGAGACAAAGGACUCAGAUGGCAAAGAAUCUGCUGAGGAGGAGAAAGACGAGCAAGAAGAUAUUGUAACUGAAUAGAGCGGUCUUGAAGAAAAUGUCACAAUUGCAGGCAGUAAAAAAGAUCCCCUUUUGAGAAGGCAGGAGUUGCUAGUCAAGAGUGGCCUUGCUGAGGUGGCCGUGGGAGGCU